rnacentral:rRNA from 1 species
CCCGCUCAGAAACUUAAAGGAAUUGACGGGGGCCCGCACAAGCGGAGGAGCAUGUGGUUUAAUUCGAUGAUACGCGAGGAACCUUACCUGGGCUCGAACGUAAGAUGACUGUAGGUGAAAGCUUACAUCUCUUCGGAGCAUUUUACGAGGUGCUGCAUGGUUGUCGUCAGCUCGUGCCGUGAGGUGUCGGGUUAAGUCCCAUAACGAGCGCAACCCCUACUGCUAGUUGUCAGCGGGUCAUGCCGGGGACUCUAGCGGAACUGCCAGCGUAAGCUGCGAGGAAGGUGGGGAUGACGUCAAAUCAGCACGGCCCUUACGUCCAGGGCUACACACGUGCUACAAUGGCCGGUACAAAGGGCAGCUACCUGGUGACAGGAUGCUAAUCUCAAAAGCCGGUCUCAGUUCGGAUCGGAGUCUGCAACCCGACUCCGUGAAGCUGGAAUCGCUAGUAAUCGCGCAUCAGCCAUGGCGCGGUGAAUACGUUCCCGGGCCUU